AUACUUACCUGGCAGGGGCAAUUCCAUGGUCAUGAAGGUGAUUUUCCCAGGGUGAGGCUUAUCCAUUGCCCUCCAGAUGUGCUAACCCUUGCAAUUCCCCAAAUGUGGGAAACUUGGCUGCAUAAUUUGUGGUAGUGGGGGUCUGCAUUUGUGCUUUCACCUG
ensembl:snRNA U1 U1 spliceosomal RNA